CAGAGUAUAGUUUAUUAAAAUUUUAACUUUGGAAGUUAAAGAUAGCUUAACGGCUUUCUCUGA
rnacentral:tRNA from 1 species